rnacentral:lncRNA from 13 species
GUGAAUCAGAUCUCAGUUGUCAUGGACUCUAGCAGCCAGUCAGUGGAGAUUCUGACCAACUGAGGCCUAAUUGAUGAUGUCAGUCAAAAGAUGGCAUAACUUACAGUCUGGUCAUGGGCAUAUUUCUCAGUAGCCACAUUUUCUUCUUGGAAAAUAAUUUUGUAUUUUUCAGCCAGCAUAGAUACUUGCUAGGUAUUCCAAACCCACUGCAUUUUCUGCAAGCAUCCCCUGUGCUCCAUUUGGGGCCUGUGACUUCAUUACUGUUUGACAUCUGGUUUUUUGUUUAGUUUAGUUUUGUUUUUGAGACAGAGUCUCUCUGUCACCAGGCUACAGUGCAGUGGCAUGAUCUCAGAUUACUGCUGUAUCCUCCUAUUGCAUUCAAGCAAUUCUUCUGCCUCAGCAUUCUGAGUAGCUGGGACUUAAGGUUCUCACCACCACCAUUCCAGGUUUCUUGUAGUUUUUAGUAGAGACGGGGUUUCACCAUGUUGGCCAGGAUGGGCUCAAUCUCUUGCCCUCGUGAUCUGCCCACCUCAGCCUCCCAACAUGCUGGGAUUACAUGUGUGAGCCUUCCUGCCCAGCCUGCUAUCUGGUUUUUGAAUGUCACCAAGUGAAUACAAGACCUGUGCCAACAGGACCCAGCAUGAUGUAAUCCUCAUGGUGUUUCCUUUUCUGUUAUUGCAGGAGAAGCCUGCGGCUUGGUGUCACCGCCGUCCUGUUGAGGUCCUACAGGACCUCAUCUUGGAAGACAUCGAGGAUGAUGAGCUGCCCUCUGAUGUGGUCACUGUGACAGCCUUAAAUGACCUCUCUCCUCCUGAGGAUUGCAGGAGCAUCACUACUGAGGAUGAUGGCGAGAGUUCAUCACUCGCUGUUUAUGAGUGGAUUCUGGAAAAUCUCAACAGUGAAGAAGACAUCUUUCCAGGUAGGCAACAAGAUUACAGGUGGAAUCUAAUAAAGCAGGUUCCCAGGAGCCUACAGCUUCUGCCUACUGCUUGGGAGGGUGAACGAGUACGUAGAAAGAGAAGAAAAAGAAAACGUGGCUGA